rnacentral:rRNA from 1 species
UCAGACGAUGCGUCAUGCAUAUCAAUAAGCGGAGGAAAAGAAACUAACAAGGAUUCCCCUAGUAACGGCGAGUGAAGCGGGAAGAGCUCAAAUUUGAAAUCUUAAAGGGUUUCCCUUUACGAAUUGUAGUUUAAAGAAGUGUUUUCUGUUGAGGUUUUGGUAAAAGUUCUUUGGAAUAGGACAUCAUAGAGGGUGAGAAUCCCGUAUUUGACCUUUACUUUCAACUCUGUGAUACACUUUCAAAGAGUCGGAUUGUUUGGGAAUGCAGUCCAAAAUGGGUGGUAAAUUUCAUCUAAAGCUAAAUAUUGGCGAGAGACCGAUAGCGAACAAGUACCGUGAGGGAAAGAUGAAAAGAACUUUGAAAAGAGAGUUAAACAGUACGUGAAAUUGUCAAAAGGGAAGCGUUUGACACCAGUGUUGUUUUUCUGAAAAUCAAUUAAAGAACUGUUUAUGCUAAGCUUGUUUAGACUUUAUCAGCUAUCUGUUUAGUUUUGAGCUUUUCUUUAAUGCACUUUUCAGUUAACAAGUCAACAUCAAUUUCUUUUGCUGUAAAAAAGCUUGAGGAAGGUGGCUUGAGAUUCGUCUUAAGUGUUUAUAGCCUCUUGCCUAUGCAGUCGGAGAGAUUGAGGUCUGCAGCGUAGAUCCUUCGGGGCUAAAUGCAUUUGUGCUAAGUUAUAGCAUUUUAUAGACAACUUGUUGACUAUGAUUUGUCUUGUAGCUUACUCGCUUAUGUUAUUUUACCUACGCUUAGGAUGUUGACACACGCGCGUGCUCG